rnacentral:rRNA from 1 species
GACGAAGGGGGCUAGCGUUGUUCGGAAUUACUGGGCGUAAAGCGCGCGUAGGCGGCUUUGUAAGUUAGAGGUGAAAGCCCGGGGCUCAACCCCGGAACUGCCUUUAAGACUGCAUCGCUUGAAUCCGGGAGAGGUGAGUGGAAUUCCGUGUGUAGAGGUGAAAUUCGUAGAUAUUCGGAAGAACACCAGUGGCGAAGGCGGCUCACUGGACCGGUAUUGACGCUGAUGUGCGAAAGCGUGGGGAGCAAACAGG